rnacentral:lncRNA from 1 species
UGCAUUCUAGAGAUGGACAAGGAAUUCAUCUUCUUAGGCUUGGGGACGACGAGCGGUAGAGAGGUGGCAACAGAAUUUGGAGAAGAAAAACAAAGGAAGGCACGGGUGGAAACACAAUGGAAAUCGUCGGAUGCCUUGUGAGCUGUGACGUCUGCAGUCGCCGUAGAACAACUAGAAGAGGUACUAGAAAAUAACUAAAUUCCUUUCUUGACCUGGAAAAAUUUUCCCUUCCUAAUAUGACAUCAACUUUUAACUUUCAUUCCUUAUUUGAUAUUUCCGUCACUUAUGUUAGUUAAGUCAUGUGAAAUGGUCUCCA